rnacentral:ribozyme from 1 species
AAGAUAAAAACAAGCCACGAAACACGGAAAAAAAAGACGAGCUCACGUCAGUUUUUCGAUCGAUUUUCUCUCUCUUCAUUUUAAUUUUUCCUGACAUUUCCUC